GGCGCACGGGUGCGUAACACGUAUGCAACCUACCUUAUAGACGGGGAUAGCCUUUGGAAACGGAGAUUAAUACCCGAUAGUAAUAUUGACUGGCAUCAGUUUAUAUUUAAAGAUUUAUCGCUAUAAGCUGGGCAUGCGUCCAAUUAGUUAGUUGGUGAGGUAACGGCUCACCAAGACGAUGAUUGGUAGGGGAACUGAGAGGUUAAUCCCCCACACUGGCACUGAGAUACGGGCCAGACUCCUACGGGAGGCAGCAGUAGGGAAUAUUGGGCAAUGGAGGCAACUCUGACCCAGCCAUGCCGCGUGCAGGAUGAAGGCGUUAUGCGUUGUAAACUGCUUUUAUAUAGGAAGAAAUAGACCUUGCGAGGUAAGUUGACGGUACUAUAUGAAUAAGCACCGGCUAACUCCGUGCCAGCAGCCGCGGUAAUACGGAGGGUGCAAGCGUUGUCCGGAUUUAUUGGGUUUAAAGGGUGCGUAGGCGGUUUAUUAAGUCAGUGGUGAAAGACGGUCGCUCAACGAUUGCAGUGCCAUUGAUACUGGUAGACUUGAGUGAGAUUGAGGUAGCUGGAAUGGAUAGUGUAGCGGUGAAAUGCAUAGAUAUUAUCCAGAACACCAAUUGCGUAGGCAAGUUACUAAG
rnacentral:rRNA from 1 species